CCUACGUGGGGCUGCAGUAAGGAAUAUUGGUCAAUGGACGCAAGUCUGAACCAGCCAUGCCGCGUGGAGGAUGAAGGUCCUCUGGAUUGUAAACUUCUUUUAUUUGGGAAGAAACUCCCGAUUUCCAUCGGGAUUGACGGUACCAGAUGAAUAAGCACCGGCUAACUCCGUGCCAGCAGCCGCGGUAAUACGGAGGGUGCAGGCGUACUGCGGAUAAACUGGGUUUAGGUGGUGAGGUAAGUCAGUGGUGAAAUCUCCGGGCUUAACCCGGAAACUGCCAUUGAUACUAUUUGUCUUGAAUACUCUGGAGGUGAGCGGAAUAUGUCAUGUAGCGGUGAAAUGCUUAGAUAUGACAUAGAACACCCAUUGCGAAGGCAGCUCACUACGGAAAUAUUGACGCUGAGGCACGAAAGCGUGGGGAUCAAACAGGAUUAGAUACCCGUGUAGUC
rnacentral:rRNA from 1 species